rnacentral:sRNA from 1 species
UUUUUUUUUCUUCUUUCAGAAACCUUGGUUAUAUGACCUAUGGGAGGUUUGGAAUGGCUAUCCCAAACAGCCCCUGCUGCCAUCCCAGUACUGGUACUACAUUUUAGAAAUGAGUUUUUAUUGGUCUCUGUUAUUUAGACUUGGCUUUGAUGUCAAGAGAAAGGUAAGUGUCUUAUUUACAAAGCUCCUUUAUCAGUUUCUUCAAAAAUUCCCAUCUCCUUGCCCCAAAUUCUAAUCUUUAAGUUGUAUUUUUCUGUGUAUUUGGGUCCAGUUCAUUGCUUUUGUGUGCUUUAUAGUACAUAGAAUAUUGCUAAUUAUACUCAUGCUUUGGUGCCUUGGUAAACAUUUGUAGUGAAACAUUAUAAAAACUUUAACUUUGAAGCUCCACCUCUGUUCAAUAAGAAAAAAAUA